CCUACGGGAGGCUGCAGUGGGGAAUAUUGGACAAUGGGCGAAAGCCUGAUCCAGCCAUGCCGCGUGUGUGAAGAAGGCCUUCGGGUUGUAAAGCACUUUCAGUGGGGAAGAAAGCCUUGGGGCUAAUACCCUCGAGGAAGGACAUCACCCACAGAAGAAGCACCGGCUAACUCCGUGCCAGCAGCCGCGGUAAUACGGAGGGUGCGAGCGUUAAUCGGAAUUACUGGGCGUAAAGCGCGCGUAGGCGGUCUGAUAAGCCGGUUGUGAAAGCCCCGGGCUCAACCUGGGAACGGCAUCCGGAACUGUCAGGCUAGAGUGCAGGAGAGGAAGGUAGAAUUCCCGGUGUAGCGGUGAAAUGCGUAGAGAUCGGGAGGAAUACCAGUGGCGAAGGCGGCCUUCUGGACUGACACUGACGCUGAGGUGCGAAAGCGUGGGUAGCAAACAGGAUUAGAUACCCAGUGUC
rnacentral:rRNA from 1 species